rnacentral:lncRNA from 1 species
GAUCCCUAAGCAGGUUUAAAAAGAAAAAAAGCACCAAGCCUAAUAAUAACUGGAGGUCUUUUUAUUAUGGUUUGUUUGUUUCGUUUGAGACAGGUUCUCUAUGUAAACCAGGCUGGCUUCCAAGUCACAGAGAUCCUCCUGACUCUGCCUUAUAAGUGCUGGGGUCAGAGACAUGCGCCACCAUACCUGACUUAGAUGACCAAGUUUAAUCCCUGGCACUUAUAUGAUAGAAAGAGAAUUUAGUCCUGAAAGUUGUCUUCUGACCUCCAAAGUUGUGCUACGCAUUGUACACUUGAUAUGUACAUAUAUACAUUAAAAAAUGUAAACAUUUUCUUUAAGUUAGGAAAUAAAAUGAUUGUGUACACUGGGCUAUUGACACGUGUUUUUGUCUGUUUUAGGUCAGAAUACAAAGCGUGAGUCUGGAAGAAAAGUUCAAUCUGGAAAUAUCAAUGCUGCAAAGACAAUUGCAGACAUCAUCCGGACCUGUUUGGGACCUAAAUCUAUGAUGAAGAUGCUUUUGGAUCCAAUGGGAGGCAUCGUGAUGACCAAUGAUGGUAAUGCCAUUCUUCGAGAGAUUCAAGUCCAGCAUCCCGCAGCAAAAUCCAUGAUUGAAAUUAGCAGGACCCAGGAUGAAGAGGUUGGAGAUGGGAC